rnacentral:rRNA from 1 species
CCGGUUGAUCCUGCCGGACCCGACUGCUAUCAGAGUGGGACUAAGCCAUGCGAGUCAACAUAGCAAUAUGUGGCAUACGGCUCAGUAACACGUAGUCAACAUGCCCAGGGGACGUGGAUAACCUCGGGAAACUGAGGAUAAACCGCGAUAGGUCAUCACUUCUGGAAUGGGUAAUGACUUAAACCUAUAUGGCCCCUGGAUUGGACUGCGGCCGAUCAGGCUGUUGGUGAGGUAAUGGCCCACCAAACCUGUAACCGGUACGGGCUCUGAGAGGAGGAGCCCGGAGAUGGGCACUGAGACAAGGGCCCAGGCCCUAUGGGGCGCAGCAGGCGCGAAACCUCUGCAAUAGGCGAAAGCUUGACAGGGUUACUCUGAGUGAUUUCCGUUAAGGAGAUCUUUUGGCACCUCUAAAAAUGGUGCAGAAUAAGGGGUGGGCAAGUCUGGUGUCAGCCGCCGCGGUAAUACCAGCACCCCGAGUGGUCGGGACGUUUAUUGGGCCUAAAGCAUCCGUAGCCGGUUCUACAAGUCUUCCGUUAAAUCCACCUGCUUAACAGAUGGGCUGCGGAAGAUACUAUAGAGCUAGGAGGCGGGAGAGGCAAGCGGUACUCGAUGGGUAGGGGUAAAAUCCGUUGAUCCAUUGAAGACCACCAGUGGCGAAGGCGGCUUGCCAGAACGCGCUCGACGGUGAGGGAUGAAAGCUGGGGGAGCAAACCGGAUUAGAUACCCGGGUAGUCCCAGCUGUAAACGAUGCAGACUCGGUGAUGAGUUGGCUUAUUGCUAACUCAGUGCCGCAGGGAAGCCGUUAAGUUUGCCGCCUGGGGAGUACGGUCGCAAGACUGAAACUUAAAGGAAUUGGCGGGGGAGCACCACAAGGGGUGAAGCCUGCGGUUCAAUUGGAGUCAACGCCGGAAAUCUUACCGGGGGCGACAGCAGAGUGAAGGUCAAGCUGAAGACUUUACCAGACAAGCUGAGAGGAGGUGCAUGGCCGUCGCCAGCUCGUGCCGUGAGGUGUCCUGUUAAGUCAGGUAACGAGCGAGACCCA